UUUUUUUUAUUUUCGUAACAAGGUUUCCGUAGGUGAACCAGCGGAGGGAUCAUU
rnacentral:rRNA from 1 species